rnacentral:rRNA from 1 species
UGCAGUCGNACGAACCUUUCGGGGUUAGUGCGCGGACGGGUGAGUAACGCGUGAGAAUCUGCCUUCAGGAUGGGGACAACAGUUGGAAACGACUGCUAAUACCCGAUAUGCAGCGAUGUGAAAGAUUUAUCGCCUGGAGAUGAGCUCGCGUCUGAUUAGCUAGUUGGUGUGGUAAAGGCGCACCAAGGCGACGAUCAGUAGCUGGUCUGAGAGGAUGAGCAGCCACACUGGGACUGAGACACGGCCCAGACUCCUACGGGAGGCAGCAGUGGGGAAUUUUCCGCAAUGGGCGCAAGCCUGACGGAGCAAUACCGCGUGAGGGAGGAAGGCUCUUGGGUCGUAAACCUCUUUUCUCAGGGAAGAACACAAUGACGGUACCUGAGGAAUAAGCAUCGGCUAACUCCGUGCCAGCAGCCGCGGUAAUACGGAGGAUGCAAGCGUUAUCCGGAAUGAUUGGGCGUAAAGCGUCCGUAGGUGGUUAUGUAAGUCUGUGGUUAAAGCGUGGAGCUCAACUCCAUAACGGCCAUGGAAACUACNAGACUAGAGUCAAGUAGGGGUAGAGGGAAUUCCCAGUGUAGCGGCGANAUGCGUAGAGAUUGUGAAGAACACCGGUGGCGAAAGCGCUCUACUGGACUCGUACUGACACUGAGGGACGAAAGCUAGGGGAGCGAAAGGGAUUAGAUACCCCUGUAGUCCUAGCCGUAAACGAUGGAUACUANGUGUUGCCCGUAUCGACCCGGGCAGUGCCGUACCUAACGCGUUAAGUAUCCCGCCUGGGGAGUACGCNCGCAAGUGUGAAACUCAGAGGAAUUGACGCG